rnacentral:rRNA from 1 species
UGAGGAAUAUUGGUCAAUGGGCGGAAGCCUGAACCAGCCAUCCCGCGUGCAGGAAGACAGCCCUAUGGGUUGUAAACUGCUUUUCCAGUGGGCGAACCCCUCGUACGUGUACGGGAUUGACGGUACACUGGGAAUAAGCAUCGGCUAACUCCGUGCCAGCAGCCGCGGUAAUACGGAGGAUGCGAGCGUUAUCCGGAUUUAUUGGGUUUAAAGGGUGCGUAGGCGGAUGAAUAAGUCAGUGGUGAAAGGCUGCAGCUUAACUGUAGACUUGCCGUUGAUACUGUUUAUCUUGAGUGUGGUCAAGGCAGGCGGAAUGUGUAAUGUAGCGGUGAAAUGCUUAGAUAUUACACAGAACACCGAUUGCGAAGGCAGCUUGCUGGGCCAUUACUGACGCUGAUGCACGAAAGCGUGGGGAGCGAACAGG